CCAUAGCACAGGCUUCCUGUGUAUCUGAAACUCUCCAUUAGCCACCUUUGUCCAUGGAGAAUCAUGGCUUGUACCUGUCUCCAGGGAAAGGAAAUUAUUCCAGUGAAGAGAGCAUUUGAAAAGAAAGAUUUAAAAUGUACUAGCAUUCCAUAUUGUCUACCAUUCUCUGUUCAGACUCCUACAGAGUCCCAGGCCAGCUACAGAACUCUGUGUGGGGACUCUUCCAGGCCCAGAGCUGGACCUGCUCAAGGGGAGCAGGACUUAUGGGUCUGUUUGAACUGGACUCUAGAUCCAGGAAUUGUCUACAAAAGAAGAAGAGACCUGGGCAGGUCUGAGAUGGGGAUUUACAGAGAUGGCUCUGAGAAGCCGUUUAAAGGCAAGAAGUGUGGCCAAGGAAGAAAGCAAAAGACUGAGAGAAAAACCUGAGUUCAGAAGACAAGGGCUGCUCCUCUACUCAAAGCCAUGUGCAGAUGCUUUCUGGGUGCAUUGUUCCAUAUCAAGACUCUAAGGAUCAACAUUUAAUUCCAAGUGCAAUUUUAAAUUUGGAGAGAAAUUAUUAUAUUUCUAAGAAAUUGGCAAAAGAACCAUU